GAGAAAGCUACCAAAGGGCAUACGGUGGAUGUCUUGGCGUCCAGAGGCGAUGAAGGACGUUGGAACCUGCGAUAUGCCUCGGGGAGCCGGUAACCAGGCUUUGAUCCGAGGAUUUCCGAAUGGGGAAACCCGGCCCGUAAGGGUCACUUGCACCCGAAUGCAUAAGGUGUAAGAGCGAACCCGGUGAACUGAAACAUCUCAGUAACCGGAGGAAAGGAAAGCAAAAUGCGACUCCGUAAGUAGCGGCGAGCGAAAGCGGAUAAACCAGUAGCUGCGUGAACGACCUGGAAAGGUCGACCACAGAAGGUGAUAGUCCUGUACUGCAGUAGCUGGCCAGCCCUAGAGUAGCGCGGUGCUCGUGAAACUCCGCGUGAAUAUGGGGGGUCCACCCUCCAAGGCUAAGUACUCCUGGACGACCGAUAGUGAACCAGUAAGGUGACUGAAUGAUGAAAAGCACCCCGAUAAGGGGAGUGAAAAGUACCUGAAACCGUAUGCUUACAAGCUGUGGGAGCCCGCUAGACGGGUGACCGCGUGCCUUUUGCAUAAUGAGCCUGCGAGUUACUCUGUGUGGCAAGGUUAAGUCGAAACACGACGGAGCCGAAGGGAAACCGAGUCCGAAAUGGGCGUCGAGUCGCACGGGGUAGACGCGAAACCGGGUGAUCUACCCAUGGGCAGGUUGAAGGAGGGGUAAGACCCUCUGGAGGACCGAACGCACCUACGUUGAAAAGUGGGGCGAUGACCUGUGGGGAGGAGUUAAAGUCUAAUCAAACCCGGAGAUAUCUCGUUCUCUCCGAAAUAGCUUUAGGGCUAGCCUCGCGUUACAACAUAUGGGGGUAGAGCUACUGGAUGGGGCUGGGGGGCUUAUCGCCUACCCACUCCAACCAAACUCCGAAUACCAUAUGUCUUUGUCGCGGGAGUCAGUCUGUGGGAGAUAAUUUCCACGGACGAAAGGGAAACAGCCCAGACCGCCAGUUAAGGUCGCUGAUCGAACCUCAGUUUCUAAGGAAGUCGAAUUGCUGAGACAGCCAGGAUGUUGGCUUAGAAGCAGCCACCAUUUAAAGAGUGCGUAACAGCUCACUGGUCGAGGAAUUCGGCGCCGAUAAUGAUCGGGAAUAAGGUUCGAACCGAAACUGCGGAAUCGUAAGAUUGGUAGGAGAGCGUUCCUGUCAGCGUUGAAGGCAUCCCGGAAGGGUUGCUGGAGCGGCAGGAAGUGAAUAUGCAGGCUUGAGUAACGAUAAAUGGAGUGAGAAUCUCCAUCGCCGAAAACCUAAGGUUUCCUGGGGAAGGUAAAUCCGCCCAGGGUUAGGCGGGACCUAAGGCGAGGCCGAAAGGCGUAGUCGAUGGACAGCAGGUUAAUAUUCCUGCCCCAUCAUGGAAGGUUGAUCCAGCGUGACGGAUCUUGAAGUUCAACGGGACAGUGAAGCGUCCAGGCCCUAGAGGCCGGUGUUGGGUGGAUAGGUUCCAAGAAAAGCCGUCUGGUGACGACCAUGAUGCCCGUACUAAAACUGACACAGGUAGGUGUGGCGAAAAGCCUCAGGCGCUCGAGAAAAUGGUUGUGAAGGAACUAGGCAAAUUGACCCCGUAAGUUCGCAAUAAGGGGGCCCUACUGGCAACAGAGGGCGCAGACAAAAGGCUCUGGCGACUGUUUAUCAAAAACACAGC
rnacentral:rRNA from 1 species